ACACAUACACACACACACACACACACAUACAAACACACACACACAUACACACACAUACAUACAUACACACACACACACACAAAUACACACACAUACAAACACACACACACAUACACACACAUACAAACACACACACACAUACACACACAUACAUACACAAAAGCAAAGUGAGAAAGUGACAGAGAGACUUGUCGAUGCUUCUGGACCCUCCUGUCAUCACGGAAACACACAGCUGCCAGGGCAACAAGCUUUGGACAUCAGCCAUUCAUCCUUCUUAUUCAUCCAUUAUUUCAUCCAUCCUUCCAAUUCAUCCACCCAUCCACCCAUCCAUACAUCUCGUCUCAUCCAUUCAUCCAGAGAGAGAGAGAGAGAGAGAGAGAGAGAGAGAGAGAGAGGAUCAGGCAGAGAGACAGAUAUAACAAAAAGAGAGACAAAGAAGAUAUACAUCAUCAUCAUCCUCAUCAUCAAGCUGCUGUACCAAGCAGAGUACCUGGAGAUCCUGAUCCUCUCUGAUCUCCGGACCUGCCUGAUCCAUUUCGGAUGUCCUACCUCUGGAUGGAGCUCUCAUCUUCUCCAAUUCCAGACUGCUGGGACUAUGGCUGCUCCUAAGGCCAAACAGACUUCAUAUAAAUCCAUAAUGAACUUUUUCACACUAUCUGUUGUUACAAAGAUGAGGAUGGGUUCCCUUCUGAGUCGGGUUCCUCUCAAGGUUUCUUCCUCUUAACAUCUUUUAACAUCGCCACCGGCUUGCUCAAUUGGGAUAAAUUCGCACAUUUAAAAUCUGUAUCCCGUGUUUAUAUAUUUCUGUAAAGCUGCUUUGAGACAAUGUCUAUUGUAAAAAGCGCUAU